rnacentral:rRNA from 1 species
AAUAUUGCACAAUGGGCGCAAGCCUGAUGCAGCGACGCCGCGUGAGCGAAGAAGGUUUUCGGAUCGUAAAGCUCUGUCCUCUGGGAAGAAAAAAAUGACGGUACCAGAGGAGGAAGCCCCGGCUAACUACGUGUCAGCCGCCGCGGUAAUACGUAGGUGGCGAGCGUUAUCCGGAAUUACUGGGUGUAAAGGGUGUGGAGGCGGGAUCGCAAGUCAGUGGUGAAACCCGUGGGCUCAACCCACGGCCUGCCAUUGAAACUGCGGUUCUUGAGAAUGGGAGAGGUAAACGGGAUUCCCGGUGUAGCGGUGAAAUGCGUAGAUAUCGGGAGGAACAUCGGUGGCGAAGGCGGUUUACUGGACCAUAACUGACGCUGAGACACGAAAGCGUGGGGAGCAAACAGG